CUUUUAUGGAGAGUUUGAUCCUGGCUCAGGACGAACGCUGGCGGCGUGCCUAAUACAUGCAAGUCGAGCGCGGGAAGCGAGCAGAAGCCCUUCGGGGCGGACGCUCGUGGAACGAGCGGCGGACGGGUGAGUAACACGUGGGCAACCUGCCUGUAAGACCGGAAUAACCCCGGGAAACCGGGGCUAAUGCCGGAUAACCCAACGGUUCUCCUGAACCGAUGGUAAAAGGAUGGCUUCUUGCUAUCGCUUACAGAUGGGCCCGCGGCGCAUUAGCUGGUUGGUGA
rnacentral:rRNA from 1 species